rfam:Salmo salar isolate Sally breed double haploid chromosome ssa15, whole genome shotgun sequence.
CUCCCUGUGGGUCAGUUGGUAGAGCAUGGUGUUUGCAACGCCAGGGUUGUGGGUUCGAUUCCCAUGGGGGGCA